UGGGGUCAAUGGCGAUGGACGCCGGGAUGGCAAAUUCCCGUCGUCGUGGGUUCGAGUCCCAUCCAGCCA
rnacentral:tRNA from 1 species